GAUGAACGCUAGCGAUAGGCUUAACACAUGCAAGUCGAGGGGCAGCACAAGGUAGCUUGCUAUCUGGGUGGCGACCGGCGCACGGGUGCGUAACGCGUAUGCAACUUGCCCUAUACAGGAGGAUAACCCGUCGAAAGACGGACUAAUACUGCGUAUGCUCACAACUUGGCAUCAAGUGGUGAGGAAAGAAAUUCGGUAUAGGAUAGGCAUGCGUCCCAUUAGCUUGUUGGUGAGGUAACGGCUCACCAAGGCAACGAUGGGUAGGGGAACUGAGAGGUUUAUCCCCCACACUGGUACUGAGACACGGACCAGACUCCUACGGGAGGCAGCAGUGAGGAAUAUUGGUCUAUGGGCGCGAGCCUGAACCAGCCAAGUCGCGUGAAGGAUGACUGUCUUAUGGAUUGUAAACUUCUUUUAUACGGGAAUAACAAGAGUCACGUGUGACUCCCUGCAUGUACCGUAUGAAUAAGCAUCGGCUAACUCCGUG
rnacentral:rRNA from 1 species